CUUCUCUUCUCCCUCCCUUCCCAACUUGUUUUCUUCUUUUGCAUUCUCUGUGUAUUGGUGCAUUAGGUCGACAAUGUGGGAGGUCUUAUUUGGGUUAAAGGUAAGGUAUUUGACAAGAGGAGUGGUUGGUGACGCCGGCUGGUUUGGUGGAGGCCAUGGAGCUUAGGGCCUUCAAUCUUUUGAAGCUCUCCCGGAUUUACAAGGUGGUGGCACAAAAAUCUUGAAAUUUGCUCUCAUUUCUUUCCCCUCUUUCAUUUUGUUUCUCAUCAUGUAAUCUUCCCAUGCACAUUGGAAUAUGCAUGCGGGUCCAUGUAUCAAGUAGACCCAAAAUAAAGGCCUAGGCUUUAUGUUCA